rnacentral:rRNA from 1 species
AGUGGGGAAUUUUGGACAAUGGGCGCAAGCCUGAUCCAGCAAUGCCGCGUGAGUGAAGAAGGCCUUCGGGUUGUAAAGCUCUUUUGUCAGGGAAGAAACGGCUGUGGCUAAUAUCCACGGCUAAUGACGGUACCUGAAGAAUAAGCACCGGCUAACUACGUGCCAGCAGCCGCGGUAAUACGUAGGGUGCAAGCGUUAAUCGGAAUUACUGGGCGUAAAGCGUGCGCAGGCGGUUUUGUAAGUCUGACGUGAAAUCCCCGGGCUCAACCUGGGAAUUGCGUUGGAGACUGCAAGGCUGGAGUCUGGCAGAGGGGGGUAGAAUUCCACGUGUAGCAGUGAAAUGCGUAGAGAUGUGGAGGAACACCGAUGGCGAAGGCAGCCCCCUGGGUCAAGACUGACGCUCAUGCACGAAAGCGUGGGGAGCAAA